AGAAUCAACGCUGGCGGCGUGCCUAACACAUGCAAGUCGAACGAGAAAGUGGAGCAAUCCAUGAGUAAAGUGGCGUACGGGUGAGUAACACGUGACUAACCUACCCUUGAGUGGGGGAUAACUUCGGGAAACCGAGGCUAAUACCGCAUAAUACCGAGAGGUCAAAGGAGCAAUUCGCUUAAGGAGGGGGUCGCGGCUGAUUAGCUAGUUGGUAGGGUAAUGGCCUACCAAGGCAAUGAUCAGUAUCCGGCCUGAGAGGGCGCACGGACACACUGGAACUGAAACACGGUCCAGACUCCUACGGGAGGCAGCAGUGGGGAAUUUUGCACAAUGGGGGAAACCCUGAUGCAGCAACGCCGCGUGGAGGAUGAAGUCCCUUGGGAUGUAAACUCCUUUCGACCGGGACGAUAAUGACGGUACCGGUGGAAGAAGCACCGGCUAACUCUGUGCCAGCAGCCGCGGUAAUACAGAGGGUGCGAGCGUUGUUCGGAAUUAUUGGGCGUAAAGGGCGCGUAGGCGGUGCGGUAAGUCACCUGUGAAACCUCUGGGCUUAACUCAGAGCCUGCAGGCGAACUGCCGUGCUGGAGGUUGGGAAAAGUUCCGUGAAUUCCCGGUGGUAGCGGUGAAAUGCGUAGAUAUCGGGAGGAACACCUGUGGCGAAAGCGGCGCACUGGACCACUACUGACGCUGAGGCGCGAAAGCUAGGGGAGCAAACAGGAUUAGAUACCCUGGUAGUCCUAGCCCUAAACGAUGAUUGCUUGGUGUGAUCGGUACCCAAUCCGAUCGUGCCGCAGCUAACGCGAUAGCAUCCGCCUGGGGAGUACGGUCGCAAGGCUGAA
rnacentral:rRNA from 1 species